GCAACGCGAGCCUGAACGGCUUGGUUUUUUUGAACCAAUUGGCUUUGUUGUUGCGAUGUUGUGUUUGCAAACUCGUAUUUCGAGUUCGGUAGAUUUCUACCAUGGUUUUGUUUCAUUUAUCCCAGAAACAAAACGUAUACUUCCUGUAUUUAUUUUGACCUGUCUGUCAAAUUUUUUAGCACCGCCUAAUAGGCGGUGUUUUUUUAU
rnacentral:other from 1 species